AUUUAAACAUUUAAGAAAAACCAAAGACGUAACAUAAUGUCAGGGAUUGUUUUGGGUUUUGUUGGUGUUCAUGUCUUUUGCUUUGUAUUCAUGCAUUUAGUUUAGUUUCCUGGUUUGUCAUGUGUUCCUUGCCCCUCAUGUGAUUGUCAUGUGCUACCCUUGUCUGUGUGUUAUGUUCUGAUUGGUUCUUUAGUUCAUGUUUCAUGUUCUCAUUGAUUUUCUUAGUCAUUUGUCUUGUUUCACAUUGGUUGGUUAUUGUCAAGUGACCCUCAUUGUGUUAUAUAAAUAGCCCUCAUGUUGCCUUUGUUCUUUGUCUAGUUUUGUAGUGUGUAACCUUCUGUCGGUGAGUUGUGUUUCUGUUUAUGAUAAGUUUCUGGUCAAGUCUGUCAUGUCAAGUCAAGUCAAGGAGGAAAAAUGGCGGCAGAUGUGUUGGGUGGUUUGUCAGGCUCCACUCCAAUACUUUCUACUAACUCAUUUUUUUCAAUAUUUACUGGUUUAAGAACAAAACAAAGACACCGGUUAAAUAAUAAUUAUAAUGAUGAAGGAAAUGUUUGCGUAUUUCUGCUUUGCUGUUGGCUUCUGUUGUUGCCAUUUGGACAACACCUAAGCGCAAACAAACAGUUGUCCCAGGCUGACAACCAUCAGUCAGUAAAUACGAAUGGAUUACCGAGAUUAAACUUCUUUGGACAUGGAUACUUUGUCAUCUACUCGAUCACCAAACAAUCUGAUCACCCACGUCGUGGCACGCCGAGUAAACAAAACAUUGCCAUUUGCUCGAACAUCAAACGAAUUGAACUCACCCAUCGCGGCACGCUGAGAAAGCGUGAUUACCAGAGAGGAUGCAAUUGGCGUGAUUUCGGUGUUCUCUUGACUUUGAUUUUGCUGUCUGGGGACGUACAAUUGAAUCCAGGCCCAUUUGCUGUUGGCCUUUCCCCGGAGGGUGCAGCGGCUGACCUCCGGACGGACGGACGUCUUCCCCGAGCUGACUUCACUUCUCAUUAAGAUAAUUUCCCCUCCACCUGCUUCUCAUAUUGCCUUGUUAUCUGGGCUACUUCUACCCUCUCGUUCGUGGUGUCUCUUUGUCAGAUUGUUAUCUCCUAAUGAGGCUGUUGCCGUCUGCACAAGAAAUUAGUCUUGUCCUGUCCGGUCUAGUCGGGGUUAGGUUAGUCUUCUGCUAUCCCUGCCCGUUCGUCUCUGUGCUCACCCCUUUGCACCCCACAGAACCUUACCUGCUGUCCAACGCCGCGGCCUC
ensembl:lncRNA